rnacentral:miRNA from 1 species
UCUGAGCAGAUUUAAUGCCCGA